CUCUGCCUCAGGCUUCUGCUUGGAAACAGUGGGUGGUGGAUAUGGGAUAGUGGGCGGAUCCUUCACCAACAGUGAAGCACCAUCUUCUUGAUGCUGAUCUCCUGAUACUGAGCUCUCAUGAGAUCUAGUUGUAUAACAGGAUGUCGCACCUCUUUCCUCUCUCUGUCUUGCUUCUACUCCUGCCAUAUGAAACAUUUCAUUGCCGCUUGGCUUUCUGGUAUGA
rnacentral:lncRNA from 1 species